GACGUAGGGCGCGAGCGUUGUCCGGAUUUAUUGGGCGUAAAGAGCUCGUAGGCGGCUUGUCGCGUCGACUGUGAAAACCCGGGGCUCAACCCCGGGCCUGCAGCCGAUACGGGCAGACUAGAGGCAUGCAGGGGAGAACGGAAUUCCUGGUGUAGCGGUGAAAUGCGCAGAUAUCAGGAGGAACACCGGUGGCGAAGGCGGUUCUCUGGGCAUGUCCUGACGCUGAGGAGCGAAAGUGUGGGGAGCGAACAGG
rnacentral:rRNA from 1 species